AGCAGCCGCGGUAAUUCCAGCUCCAAUAGCGUAUAUUAAAGUUGUUGCAGUUAAAAAGCUCGUAGUUGAAUUUCGGGAUCAAUUAAUUGGUCGUGCCUCUGGUACGUACUGAUUUUAUUGGUUUCUCCCUUCUGACGAACCAUGAUGUCAUUAAUUUGGUGUCGUGGAGAAUCAGGACUGUUACUUUGAAAAAAUUAGAGUGUUUAAAGCAGGCUAACGCUUGAAUACAUUAGCAUGGAAUAAUGAAAUAGGACGUUCGAUCCUAUUUUGUUGGUUUCUAGGAUUGACGUAAUGAUUAAUAGGGAUAGUUGGGGGCAUUAGUAUUCAAUUGUCAGAGGUGAAAUUCUUGGAUUUAUUGAAGACUAACUACUGCGAAAGCAUUUGCCAAGGAUGUUUUCAUUAAUCAAGAACGAAAGUUAGGGGAUCGAAGACGAUCAGAUACCGUCGUAGUCUUAACCAUAAACUAUGCCGACUAGGGAUCGGAUGAUGUUAAUUUUUUAAUGACUCAUUCGGCGCCUUA
rnacentral:rRNA from 1 species